rnacentral:rRNA from 1 species
GACGUAGGAGGCGAGCGUUGUCCGGAUUCAUUGGGCGUAAAGAGCACGCAGGCGGUUUGGCAAGUCGGACGUGAAAAUCCGGGGCUCAACCCCGGACCUGCAUCCGAAACUGCCCGACUAGAGGUAGGUAGGGGAGAUCGGAAUUCCUGGUGUAGCGGUGAAAUGCGCAGAUAUCAGGAGGAACACCGGUGGCGAAGGCGGAUCUCUGGGCCUUACCUGACGCUCAGGUGCGAAAGCUAGGGGAGCGAAUGGG